CGCGUAACACGUGGGCAACCUGCCCUGAAGUGGGGGACAACAUUCCGAAAGUGGUGCUAAUACCGCAUGUGUACAUUGGUUGGCAUCAUCUGGUGUACAAAGGAUUUAUUCGCUUCAGGAUGGGCCCGCGGCCUAUCAGCUAGUUGGGGGGGUAACGGCCCACCAAGGCUACGACGGGUAGCUGGUCUGAGAGGACGAUCAGCCGGAUUGGGACUGAGAUACGGCCCAG
rnacentral:rRNA from 1 species